UACUGUUAAGGAAUUAUUUUUAUUUUUAUUAAGCAAACUUUUUUUGUUGUACCUUUUGUAUCAGGGUUAAUUAAAUAUACAAUAACUAUUUGUUAUUUUUCCCGAAAUUAAAAGAGAUAUAUAUUAAUGAUAUAUUACGUUACAUAGUGAUUUUUAAUUUUUAUAUAGGAGUGACAUGCUAUUCAUUUUUAAAUAUCUGGUUUCUUAAUAAAUUAAUUUAAUUAAGAUAAUGUUUAGGUUAUUUUAUAAUUUUAUUUUUUUUAAUAACAUUUAUUAAUAAUAUAGGGGAUAAGCUCUUUAUUAAUUCUAUAA
rnacentral:rRNA from 1 species